GACGAACGCUGGCGGCGUGCUCAACACAUGCAAGUCGAACGGAAAGGCCCUGCUUUUGUGGGGUGCUCGAGUGGCGAACGGGUGGGUAACACGUGAGUAACCUGCCCUUGACUUUGGGAUAACUUCAGGAAACUGGGGCUAAUACCGGAUAGGAGCUCCUGCUGCAUGGUGGGGGUUGGAAAGUUUCGGCGGUUGGGGAUGGACUCGCGGCUUAUCAGCUUGUUGGUGGGGUAGUGGCUUACCAAGGCUUUGACGGGUAGCCGGCCUGAGAGGGUGACCGGCCACAUUGGGACUGAGAUACGGCCCAGACUCCUACGGGAGGCAGCAGUGGGGAAUAUUGCACAAUGGGCGGAAGCCUGAUGCAGCAACGCCGCGUGCGGGAUGACGGCCUUCGGGUUGUAAACCGCUUUCGCCUGUGACGAAGCGUGAGUGACGGUAAUGGGUAAAGAAGCACCGGCUAACUACGUGCCAGCAGCCGCGGUGAUACGUAGGGUGCGAGCGUUGUCCGGAUUUAUUGGGCGUAAAGGGCUCGUAGGUGGUUGAUCGCGUCGGAAGUGUAAUCUUGGGGCUUAACCCUGAGCGUGCUUUCGAUACGGGUUGACUUGAGGAAGGUAGGGGAGAAUGGAAUUCCUGGUGGAGCGGUGGAAUGCGCAGAUAUCAGGAGGAACACCAGUGGCGAAGGCGGUUCUCUGGGCCUUUCCUGACGCUGAGGAGCGAAAGCGUGGGGAGCGAACAGGCUUAGAUACCCUGGUAGUCCACGCUGUAAACGGUGGGUACUAGGUGUGGGGUCCAUUCCACGGGUUCCGUGCCGUAGCUAACGCUUUAAGUACCCCGCCUGGGGAGUACGGCCGCAAGGCUAAAACUCAAAGGAAUUGACGGGGCCCCGCACAAGCGGCGGAGCAUGCGGAUUAAUUCGAUGCAACGCGUAGAACCUUACCUGGGUUUGACAUGGAUCGGGAGUGCUCAGAGAUGGGUGUGCCUCUUUUGGGGUCGGUUCACAGGUGGUGCAUGGCUGUCGUCAGCUCGUGUCGUGAGAUGUUGGGUUAAGUCCCGCAACGAGCGCAACCCUUGUUCACUGUUGCCAGCACGUUAUGGUGGGGACUCAGUGGAGACCGCCGGGGUCAACUCGGAGGAAGGUGGGGAUGACGUCAAGUCAUCAUGCCCCUUAUGUCCAGGGCUUCACGCAUGCUACAAUGGCUGGUACAGAGAGUGGCGAGCCUGUGAGGGUGAGCGAAUCUCGGAAAGCCGGUCUCAGUUCGGAUUGGGGUCUGCAACUCGACCUCAUGAAGUCGGAGUCGCUAGUAAUCGCAGAUCAGCAACGCUGCGGUGAAUACGUUCCCGGGGCU
rnacentral:rRNA from 1 species